rnacentral:rRNA from 1 species
AUUGAACGCUGGCGGCAUGCUUUACACAUGCAAGUCGAACGGUAACAGGGUGCUUGCACCGCUGACGAGUGGCGAACGGGUGAGUAAUGCGUCGGAACGUGCCGAGUAGUGGGGGAUAACGCAGCGAAAGUUGUGCUAAUACCGCAUACGUACUGAGGUAGAAAGUGGGGGGCCUUCGGGCCUUACGCUAUUCGAGCGGCCGACGUCUGAUUAGCUAGUAGGUGAGGUAAAGGCUCACCUAGGCGACGAUCAGUAGCGGGUCUGAGAGGAUGAUCCGCCACACUGGGACUGAGACACGGCCCAGACUCCUACGGGAGGCAGCAGUGGGGAAUUUUGGACAAUGGGCGAAAGCCUGAUCCAGCCAUGCCGCGUGUCUGAAGAAGGCCUUCGAGUUGUAAGGGACUUUUGUCAGGGAGGAAAUCCCUAGUGCUAAUAACACUGGGGGAUGACAGUACCUGAAGAAUAAGCACCGGCUAACUACGUGCCAGCCGCCGCAGUAA